rnacentral:rRNA from 1 species
GACGAACGCUGGCGGCGUGCUUAACACAUGCAAGUCGAACGGAAAGGCCCUGCUUUUGUGGGGUGCUCGAGUGGCGAACGGGUGAGUAACACGUGAGUAACCUGCCCUUGACUUUGGGAUAACUUCAGGAAACUGGGGCUAAUACCGGAUAGGAGCUCCUGCUGCAUGGUGGGGGUUGGAAAGUUUCGGCGGUUGGGGAUGGACUCGCGGCUUAUCAGCUUGUUGGUGGGGUAGUGGCUUACCAAGACUUUGACGGGUAGCCGGCCUGAGAGGGUGACCGGCCACGCUGCGACUGAGGUACGGCCCAGACUCCUACGGGAGGCAGCAGUGGGGAAUAUUGCACAAUGAGCGGAAGCCUGAUGCAGCAACGCCGCGUGCGGGAUGACGGCAUUCGGGUUGUAAACCGCUUUCGCCUGUGACGAAGCGUGAGUGACGGUAAUGGGUAAAGAAGCACCGGCUAACUACGUG